rnacentral:rRNA from 1 species
GACGAACGCUGGCGGCGUGCCUAAUACAUGCAAGUCGAGCGAAGUUUUCUGGUGCUUGCACUAGAAAAACUUAGCGGCGAACGGGUGAGUAACACGUAAAGAACCUGCCUCAUAGGCGGGGACAACUAUUGGAAACGAUAGCUAAUACCGGAUAACAGCAUAAAUCGCAUGAUAUAUGUUUAAAAGUUGGUUUCGGCUAACACUAUGAGAUGGCUUUGCGGUGCAUUAGCUAGUUGGUGGGGUAAAGGCCUACCAAGGCGACGAUGCAUAGCCGACCUGAGAGGGUGAUCGGCCACACUGGGACUGAGACACGGCCCAGACUCCUACGGGAGGCAGCAGUAGGGAAUCUUCCGCAAUGGGCGAAAGCCUGACGGAGCAACGCCGCGUGAGUGAAGAAGGAUUUCGGUUCGUAAAGCUCUGUUGUUAGGGAAGAAUGAUUGUAUAGUAACUAUAUACAGUAGAGACGGUACCUAACCAGAAAGCCACGGCUAACUACGUGCCAGCAGCCGCGGUAAUACGUAGGUGGCAAGCGUUGUCCGGAAUUAUUGGGCGUAAAGCGCGCGCAGGUGGUUUAAUAAGUCUGAUGUGAAAGCCCACGGCUCAACCGUGGAGGGUCAUUGGAAACUGUUAAACUUGAGUGCAGGAGAGAAAAGUGGAAUUCCUAGUGUAGCGGUGAAAUGCGUAGAGAUUAGGAGGAACACCAGUGGCGAAGGCGGCUUUUUGGCCUGUAACUGACACUGAGGCGCGAA